CCUACGGGGGGCAGCAGUGGGGAAUAUUGCACAAUGGGGGAAACCCUGAUGCAGCAACGCCGCGUGAGCGAAGAAGGCCUUCGGGUCGUAAAGCUCUGUCCUAAGGGAAGAAGCAUGACGGUACCUUAGGAGGAAGCCCCGGCUAACUACGUGCCAGCAGCCGCGGUAAUACGUAGGGGGCGAGCGUUAUCCGGACUCACUGUGCGUAAAGGGUGCGUAGGCGGCCAAUUAAGACGAAGGUGAAAGGCUACGGCUAAACCGUAGUAAGCCUUUGGAACAGAAUGGCUUGAGUGCAGGAGAGAAGAGUGGAAAUCCUAGUGUAGGGGUAAAACGCGUAGAAAUUAGGAGGAACACCAGUGACGAAGGCGACUCUCUGGACUGUAACUGACGCUGAGGCACGAAAGCGUGGGGAGCAAACAGGAUUAGAUACCCUUGUAGUC
rnacentral:rRNA from 1 species